UUCUAGGUUGACCUCGGAUCAGGUAGGGAUACCCGCUGAACUUAAGCAUAUCAAUAAGCCGGAGGA
rnacentral:rRNA from 1 species